CCGUUACUAACAAAAAGCUAUUCUUUUGUGGCAAGUUUUAGCUUUUUUCCCUUUCCAUUUUACAUUGUAUAAUUUUUAUUGUGUUUAAAUCGUUAUUCACUUAUUUCAUUUUUAUUGUUAAACAUUGAUUGUUAUGUCAAAUUUACAAUUUACCGGCCUUGAUGUUACAACAAAACAAGUGAAUGCAUGUGUUAUAUAAAACGUGAAGAGAUGAGUUUCAACCAUUUGACUUUCAUGUCAAUCACUUUGACCACAUUGGAAAUGUUCAACUAUACCUUUCCAUUAACCAGCUGAUCUGGUUCACUGAAUUAUUGAAUUCUCAUGAUCAGCAUGAUAUCUUUGGCCAAACUUGGAAACUUGGCUAUCUCCAUCUGAUGGAUAAAGUAACCCCAAAAUAGCAUGUUACAGGAAUUACAUUACAAAAACCAUUCCUUUGUGGAUUUACCUUUAAUUUGCUAUUAUUUCCAUUCAAUUUUAUCCUCUUUUACUCUGUUUGUGUUCACAUUAAUUUCAACUGUGAUCAUCAGGUAAACCUUUUCAUGGGCUUUAUCAGCAUCCUCAUUCACAUCAUCAUCAACAUUAACAUCUUUUUGUAUUUAUUUAUUGAUUUGGAAAUGUAUUCAACAUCAAACAGAAGCCAAAUAGCACUUGGAACUGCAGACAAUUAGACUGAUUAUGUAUUGAUAGCUAAUGAUAGCUGUAAUAACAGUUAUUGUUGUUUACCAAUGAUGAAAGGAAAAACUUAAAACCUGGAAAGAUAAAGUUCAUUUACCUUGAAUUGGGAUAAAAAAGUGCAACAAACAGACACAGACAAACAAACACACACACACAAAAGGUGUAAAAUGGAAAAAAGGAACCAUUUAAAGUUUACAGUUGCCAGUUAAAUUACCAGAGCAAUUUAAACAUUGUAUAGUUGUAAUUGUGAUAUGCAUUUAGACUUGCAAUACUAACAAUGUGUAAUGGUAAAGUAAUAAGUGAGAAGUAAAAAAAGCAGAUGAAUGAAAUGACGCUGAUGAUGGGAGAUGAAGAAGACAUCAGGAAAAAAAAAUAACAAGUAAACUAUAAGGAAAAAUAAAAGAAAACAAAAUGAACCUAUCAGAUUUUACAUUUAAGAGUAAAAUUUGUGUACUCAGAAACUCAUGAAUGAUUAUCAAAAUUAAGUGCGACAAUUAACUGUAAUCUGAUUCUCAGGCUUUCCCAUUUCACUCACUCACCAUUUUCAAUGUUUAAAAUUAGGUUUCCUCCUUGAUUUAGCAAAGCUUUUUCUCCCUUCAUUUCUCUUUGAUCAUCAUCAUCUUUAUCACUAUCUAUAUCACUAUCUAUUACUCUCUUGAAGGCUCUUAAUUGUUACCCUUAACCGGAUUAAAGAUAAAUUAAACUAUCUUACCCAUCCAUUAACAAAAACAAGAUUGGCAUUUGCUUGUAACCCAAUGGUAACUAUAUUACAAUAUAACAAGAGAUUACAGGCAGGUCUUGAUGAAAAUGAUGAGAAUGAGAAGGAUGAUGAUGAUGAUAUGAGAAGGAUGAAGAGAGGAAUACAAUUGAGAAUCAAGUUACAGGUACAAAAGUCAACUAGUCUAAUGUUUAAUUUUAAAUCGUAUAAAAUGCAAUAUCAAGUAACCUACCCUGGAUCCUUUCAAUAUAUCUCUUAUAUCUCCUCAUUAUUGACCUUAACAUUGUUUAAUUUUGUCUCAAAAUCGAACCCUGAACUUUUCUGAUUUUUAUCGGUAAAAGUAAAGAUUGAAAAAACAAAAUUUCUAACAAUUUUGCAAUUUUUAAAUCAAAAACCAUCAGAUUUAUAGAUCGCGCCUUAAAACUGAUAAUCCAUGUUAAUUGGUUAACUCUUUCCCUUUCUUUCUUGUCUUUCUAUUUUUCUUUAACCUCUGAAUGUAUGACUUGACUAAAAUAAUGUUUCUUAAAAUUAUUGGUUCCAUAUUUACCGUGUUGAUCUAAUUAGAUUGCGAGGAAACAAAGUUAAAUAGUCAUUUGAUCAACCGAGAUUAAGUUGACCCUUAUUUUGCCUAAACUGAUGUUGAUCUUUUCAUUGAAAGUGUCAACAACUUUUCCUUAGUGCUUGUGGCUUCUUCAAUAUCUCAUCUUUGAUGUUACCAAGGCUUACCAAUCGAUGAUGUCUAUAAAUAAGGUGAGAAGACCCAACUGAAAGGAAACAAUACAAUAUAUCAACUGUUUCAUCCAAUGGAUAUUCCUCAAUAAAUACCCACAAGGAUAUAUCAAUCAUUUGAUUUUUGCCGUGUGUCCAUCUGUGUAUCAAUGAUUGCCAGGAAAUGACCAGAGUCACCUUUUUUUCAACUUCAUGGGUCAACUGAUAAAAAGGACGAUUUGAUGAAGAUGAAUUUUGUUUUAAGUCUUUACUCCAUUAUCCUUGCUGAUAAUACUUUAAUUGUGACUGCUUGAGAACAUUAAUUAACUGCCAUUUUUUACUCUCCUAUCCAAAUAUUUUCAUUGUAAAACUGACAACUUGAUUAUCUUAAUUUCUUGUCAUUGUAUCAUCAUUAAGUUAACCAAGGUUCUCACAGCGCAAUGAGUAUGAUGAUUCACAUCAAGUUAAUUAUCAUCAAUGUAAACCAUUGAUUAGACACAUUAAUUAUUUCUCUUAAUCUGCCUCUAUUCUGGUAGAAUCACCAAGAUGAAUGAAGCAGAGCACAUAUAAAGCCUGUAAAAAGUUGCAAUAUCUUAAUGAAUAUGUUUAGUGUACAUUAACCUUAACCAUACAAUGAAACUCUAUGGUUGUCUCUUAAUUGUAAAUUGUAUCAAAAAAAACUAGUUACUCUGAUUAGCUUAAUUAAAAUUUUGAGUGUACAUUGUCUAAGAAUGUGCCAAAUGUAAAAAGGCAUCAAUCAAAAUACUAAAGAGGAUGAAAUUGUAAUUGAAAAGGCUAUCAAAAAAGGAAAGCACAUGAUGAAAAUGUAAUAAUGUUAAUUCAAUAGUAAAGUUAUUUUAAUUUAAAA